ACAUGCCUACAACAUAACAUUAAUUCAUCGGAUCCCAUUAGAAUUCCAUAGUUAAGCACCCUCGGGCUAGGGUAACACUGGGAUGGGUGACUGCCCUAGAAGUCCUAGUAUCUUACAUGCC
rnacentral:rRNA from 1 species